rnacentral:rRNA from 1 species
UACGUAGGGUGCAAGCGUUGUCCGGAAUUAUUGGGCGUAAAGAGCUCGUAGGCGGUGUGUCGCGUCGGCCGUGAAAACCUGGGGCUUAACUCUGGGCCUGCAUUCGAUACGGGCAGACUAGAGUUCGGUAGGGGAGUCUGGAAUUCCUGGUGUAGCGGUGAAAUGCGCAGAUAUCAGGAGGAACACCGAUGGCGAAGGCAGCCUUCUGGGCCAACACUGACGCUCAUGCACGAAAGCGUGGGGAGCAAACAGG